AGCCUGGUCUACAGCCAGGGCUAUACAGAGAAACCCUGUCUCCAAAAACCGAAAACCAAAACAAACAAAAAAAGGAUUGGAUGUUUGCCGAAGGAGGCAGGUGGGUGGCGUGUGAGCCCGGUGAGAGCUGCCUGCUGCUGUGCAGUGAGAAUCACAGUGCAUGCCUCCACACGCUGUCUCCACAGCUGCUGAGUUCAGACACUUGUGAGCGCUGCCUGGAGUGUGGGCUGUUUCCCGUGGGUACCGGGUUGAUGCGCUGAUCUGGCUGGCCAGGCAUGCAUCUGGGUCCCCUGACUGACCAUUUCCUGAACCUGCAUUGGCUGUUCCGGAUAAGAGUCAAGCAAGCAGCUCACCCCACAAAGCACCAGCGGUAGACGUCCACGUCCCUAGGCUUGUUUAAUGAAGCCGUGCAUUUGUUGGGGUUACUGAGGGAAAAUAGACUGGCAGGAGGCUGUGUUACAGGCGUCCACCCCAGCAUACACGAAACCUGUGCCCCUGGAUUCUAAAGACUGAAAAUCAGCUCAGCCAGUUGUAGUUUCCUAUCUGUUACUGCUAUGUAACUUGGAAGACCCUGUAGACCUUGUUUUUAAGGAGCCCCUGGAGCUUCAAUGAGCUUCCCUCUAGGAAGUAAUGGAAUGAAAAAAAUGGGAAAACGAACAGUCAAGGACGGUCAUACCAACAUGGAUGAUCCUAACAGAUGAACUCCUGUCAUUCUCGAAGGUGUAAACUGAACAAAAAGACAGCUUGUUUCUCUGACAGGCUUAAAAUGGCUGUUUUUUUCUCCUGUCCCAAGCUUGAUCCCUCUGUAGCCAGGGAAAGGAGGUACUGACACUUACGUCAUGCAAUGUCUGGGUGGGGACAGGACUGUGCAAAGGCCCCUUGCUGCCUAACCCCUAUAGGACAGGUGCCACUGUCCCAGGCUUUGGACAUCGCCACUCCAGAUGAAGUGUUAAAGCUACCUUGGACAUUCCCCAUGUCUCUCUCACACUAAGGUUAUGCAGUGUGGACCACUGUGGGGACAGACCUCAGGUUCAGCCAAUGGGACUCGCCUCCUCUAGCUCAUCCCUUCGCGGAAAGCCCACUGCCCUCCCCCUCCCAGUUCAGGUCUCAGGACAUGUUAAGUGGGAUCAGCCCUGUAACAGCCUGAGGUAUGCCAAUCCACGGCUCCAUCGCCCCACUUGACUGGCUCUGUGGUGAGGCUGGCAGGUUGCCAGGGGCAGCAUGCUUGUGGCCACUUGGGUUACAGGAGCUGCUGCCCAGGAGGCACCAGUUCCUGUUGUUCCAUCCCUGUUUUCUCGGGAUGCUUGGGGAGCUGGCCGGACCUGUCCACCCCUCCACGUCCCUGCUUUUUAGUGCCCCAGGCAGGGAAGAUGGGUGGGGCAGAAGCUGAUAAUUACUCUCCUGUCUGAUCACUGGGGCAAAUGGCUAAGAGGCUCCCAGUAGGCAAGGUGACCCUGCUAAGAGAGAGACUCCUGUCAACACUGAUCCAGUCAGAUGAGUGGCCCCAGACUCCCCAUGCCUUUGUUUCUUGGUUUUCUGGAGAUCACAGGAGUGGGUUAGCUGCUGAUUCUCUCAGCCCAUCAACUCUGGUGACACAUUUGGUAUUUGACAGAUACAACUUUUCUCUGGGCUUGCCAGGACAGAUUUCUGCCUGGGCCUAACUCGGGGCCCAUUCCAGAAGUCCCAUCCUAGGGUUGUUCUUGAUGCCCUGGCGUGUCUCCUCCACCAAUACCUCCCUGCCACAGGUAGGGUAUAUUAGAACAAGGGACAAGCAAAGCCGGGUGUGGUAGCACACACCUUUAAUUCCAGCACUUGGGAGGCAGAGGCAGGCAGCUUUCUGAGUUCGAGGCCAGCCUGGUCUACAAGUGAGUUCCAGGACAGCCAGGGCCACACAGAGAAACCCUGUCUGGAAAAACAAAAAAAAAAGGGGGGGGGGGAAUAAGCAAACCUGAGGUGACAUGGGGACCUGAGGGUGUUUAGAGAUGUGACACAAAGGUCAUAUAUAGACAUGAGGUGACGUGAGAACUGCUUCCAAACAAUAUCCUUUUUAUUAAAAGUAAGUACACUUCACAGUAAGUUUCUCGAGUCUUGGGAACCUGGUGAAGGCACCAGCUCUGUCUCUGCAGGGUUGCGGCUGCAGUGGCUGCACAGCCUGAUGUUGGUGCAGACACGAUGUCCCCACGCCGAGCUCCACAUUCUCUAGUGCCAGGUGAGGGACAGACAGCUGGGGUGGGGCAGGUGAGGCGAGCCUCACUCUCCUAAGAACACAGAGCUUCAGGGGCGCA